rnacentral:rRNA from 1 species
AUACGAAGGGACCUAGCGUAGUUCGGAAUCACUGGGCAUAAAGAGCACGUAGGCGGCCAUUUAAGUCAGCUGUGAAAUCCCUCGGCUUAACCGAGGAACUGCAGCUGAUACUGAUUGGCUUGAGUACGGGAGGGGAGAGCGGAAUUCCUGGUGGAGCGGUGAUAUGCAUAGAGAUCAGGAGGAACGCCGGUGGCGAAAGCGGCUCUCUGGACCGUUACUGACGCUGAGGUGCGAAAGCUAGGGGAGCGAACAGGAUUAGAUACCCUGGUAGUCCUAGCCGUAAACGAUGGGUACUAAGUGGGGGGACUCCCAAGGUCUCCCUGCCGGAGCUAAUGUGUUAAGUACCCCGCCUGGGGAGUAUGGUCGCAAGGCUAAAAACUCAAAGUAAUUGACGGGGGCUCACACAAGCGGUGGAGCAUGUUGUUUAAUUCGAUGCAACGCGAAGAACCUUACCUGGGCUUGACAUUUAUGUGGUACCAAACCGAAAGGGGCGGGACCGUCUUUUGGCGGAGCAUAAACAGGUAUUGCA